GACGAACUGUCCUAACGUUGUUCGGAAUCACUGGGCUUAAAGGGCGCGUAGGCGGUCCAACAAGUCAGGGGUGAAAUCCUGCAGCUUAACUGUAGAAGUGCCUUUGAUACUGUUGGUCUUGAGGGAGAUAGGGGUGUGCGGAACUUCCAGUGGAGCGGUGAAAUGCGUUGAUAUUGGAAGGAACGCCGGAGGCGAAAGCGGCGCACUGGAUCUCUUCUGACGCUGAGGCGCGAAAGCUAGGGGAGCGAACGGG
rnacentral:rRNA from 1 species